AUAAAAUAUAGGAAAGUAUUCAGUAGAAGUCUUGGUAAAAAAAGUAAGGGCGUCGUGCGACGAAACGUUAUGAUGAGGUAUAUACCUGUGAUUUAUAAAUAUCCUUGGUAAACUAAUUAAAAACUAAUUAAAAACAAUGUGAAUUGAACCAUCUUAGUAACAUUAACAAAAAUCAACAGAGUGGUCGUGAUUAGUGGUGAACGAAAAUGAUCCAAAAAGACUAAUUUGAUUAAAAAACUAAAAAUCCAAAGUUGGUUUAAAGUCCAGUUUAGUUUUAGUAAUUAAACAUCAAGUAUUGUGAAUCUCUUUUUGCAAGAAGAUAGGAGAACCACCUUCUAAGUCUACUUUUUUUUAACCGAUAGUGAACUAGUAUUGUGAAAGAAUGACAAAAACUGAAUAUUGAUUUUUUUUGAAGUUGAUAAAAUUUCAACGACAAAGUGCCUUUUGUAUAAUGAGUCAGCAAGUUAAUACAAGUAACGAGUCAAUCUUUCAAAAUUUAGGCAAUCUAAGUUACUUGUAUUACACCCGAAACUAAGUGAUCUAACUGCGAGUAAGUUUAAAAUUUAGUAAAAUAAAUUGACAGACUGAACUCACAUAUGUAGCAAAAUAUGGAGACAACUUGUAGUUAGGAGCGAAAGACUAAUCAAACUUAGAGAUAGCUGGUUUUUCACGAAACGUAUUUUAGUACUACAUCAUAUCAAAAUAGAGAAUAGGUAAAGUACAGAUCAACUAAAAGAUUAGACUUAAUUAUUUUUUUAGUUUAACUCUGAAUUAUUUUUAAAUUUUUAUGAUAGUCAGUCAUUAGGCGAGAAGGUCUAAUGACGAAAGGGAAACAGCCCAAUUCGAUUAUUAAGGUCUCUAAGUUGUAAUUUAGUGAAAAGAAAAAUUAGAUGAACAAAUAAAAAAUUCAGUAGGCUUGGAAGCAGUCUUCUACUAGGGAAAGCGUUUUAGCUCGUUACUUUUUAUUUAUUUUUUCAAAGAUAAUCAAGACUCAAAUUACACACCGAAUUAACGAAUCAAAAGCAACUUAUAAUUGAUGGUAGUGAAACAUUUUGUAACAACAAAUAACCAUAAUGCAAAAUUAUGGUUACAAAGUCAAAAGAGCUAAUGCUGACAUGAGUAGCGAAAACCGUAUUGAUAACGGUCGCCGAAUGUUCAAGGGUUUCAAAUAAGUUUUUUUUCAAACUAUUGUGAGUAAGCCGGUCCUUAAAAGUAGAGUGAAAACUGCAAUUUGACAGGAAAUCUAGUUAUAUGCAUAAAUCUAUUAUGUGAUUAAGUAAUUUAAUUGUGUACUGUCAAGUAAUGGUUAACUGUACACUCUGAUACUACUUCAGGAAAAAUUAUAACAAAUUUAACCGUACCCAAAACCGACACUGGUGAACUUGUUAAGAAAACUAAAGCGAUCAGGAGAAUUAUAUUGAAGGAACUCGGCAAAUUUACUUCGUACGUUCGCAAUAAGAAGGGCCUACUAAAUAGGCAGCAUAAAAUCGGAAGCAACGACUAUUUAACAAAACUACAAAACUCUGCAAAUUGGUUACUAAAGAUGUAUAGAGUUUGACACCUGCCCAAUGCUUGCUAAUAGUAAUUUAAGUGAAAGCUUAAAUUUGAAACUCAAGUAAAUGGCAGUUUUAACUAUAAGAAUUCUAAGGUAGCGAAAUUCCUUGUCGGGUAAAUUCCGUCCUGCAUGAAUGGUGUAACGAUUGCUUCACUGUCUCCAAUAUAAACCUGGCGAAAUUACAUAACCUAUGAAAAUGUAGGUAAUUUGCAGCAAGACGAAAAGACCCUAGGUUCUUUACUCUAAUUUUGUAUUGUUUGUUUAUAAAUUAUGUUAAGUGCAAGUGGCAAUAUAAAACUUUAUAUGCAAGUGAAACACCACUCUUUAAUUUAAAACAAACUUAUUUGUAACUAAAAUUCUAUGAAAUGGGGAGUUUACUUGGGGCGAGUACCUCCUAAAAAGUAACGGAGGUGUACUAAGGUAAACUAUUAAAAGUGCAAUAGCAAAGUUUGCUUAACAGUUAGAUUUAUAGAUCAAACUGAGACGCAAGUCGGUUAUAGUGAUCUGAUAUUAAAGUGUGGAUUUGAUAUCACUUAACAAAUAAAAGAAACCCUAGGGAUAACAGAUUCAUCAUGAUCUAAAGCUCUUAUUUUUUUCAUGGAUUGACACUUCGAUGUCGGCUCAUCUUAUCCUGGAUCUGUAACAGGCUCCAAGGGUCUAGUUGUUCGCUAGUAAAAAAGGUACGUGAGCUGGGUUCAGAACGUCGUGAGACAGUUUGGUC
rnacentral:rRNA from 1 species